CUAAAGAGAGAGCUCUUUACAAAUAGUUAAAUUUUACAAAAUCACACCCGACAAUUUUGGUUCCAUACCUUGGGAAUAGAUGUUUCUACAGAGUUCGAAGGUCUGAAAUGAGUUCGAGACGUGGACAGGAACGAUGCAGAGAAAGUCCGUAGAGGGGGAUGUAUAGCUGCAGGAUUCGGAUUGUAAGUUGUAGGAAAGAUGGGUCACCGGCGACGAACCGUAGAAACCUCAGCGAAGAACUUCGGCGGAAACGUGUGGGGAUAUAGCGGAGAUAGAGCGGCGAGAGCGAAUCACUUACGUCUCCUUCGUCUUCCCCAAUUGAUCUUUCUUUUUCUCCUUGAAAUCUUUCUCACGACAGUUUUAAUAGUACUCUCAACUAUUCGAGUUUUUCACCUCAGUCGGUGCAGGGGAGAACGAUGUGUCCGGACAUCUGUCCUAACAUGACACCAAUGGCUAAAAUCACGCAGAUCGG
rnacentral:lncRNA from 1 species